rnacentral:rRNA from 1 species
UACAGAGGUCUCAAGCGUUGUCCGGAUUUAUUGGGCGUAAAGAGCGUGUAGGCGGCCAGACAAGUCUGCUGUGAAAACUCGAGGCUCAACCUCGAGCUGUCGGUGGAAACUGUCUGGCUAGAGUCCGGAAGAGGAGAGUGGAAUUCCUGGUGUAGCGGUGAAAUGCGCAGAUAUCAGGAAGAACACCUAUGGCGAAGGCAGCUCUCUGGGACGGUACUGACGCUGAGACGCGAAAGCGUGGGGAGCGAACAGG